GUUCUCUCUUGGGUAGCAUAUAUACUGAAACUGGAACAAUACAGAGAAGAUUAGCAUGGCCUCUGUGGAAGCAUGAAAAGCGAAUUUGUGAAGUGUUCAAAAAAGAA